GACAAGCACUGUUGGAAGCCGCUCGCCUCCACCUCACCAGAACAGCAGAAGACACAUAAUAAAAGCUACUGCAGAAAGCAGGAGACAGAAUCAGGAUGAUGUGACCUACAAAGAUGGUUUCCAUUUGCCUCCUCUCUAGUAAGGCUGUGGCAGCCUCCCCUGUGAAAAUAAUUAUCAGAUCAGACUGACCUACGGAGAAAUCAUCUGUGUGGCUGUGACCAUCCCUGGACGGUGGAGCCUAGAACAUGAUUUCUCCUAGCUGGGGCCUUCCUGCUGCAUGUGGCUUCCCUCACAGCCUCUUGCAGACUGAGCAAGCCCCGUCGCCUGUGUGGGACCCUUUUCCAGGCCCAGCAUCUGCUUUUGUAUUGGGCUCAAAGGGUCAGCCAGCCCACCUCUGGAGUCUCCAUUGCCUCAGGAAAAUGAACGAAGGUGGCGAGUUUAGCAUCUGUAGCUGGUAGAGGAACAAAGUCACAGCUCUGGCUGUCUUCAUGGCCCUGCCCCCAACUCUGGUGGCUUUCUUACCAGAGCCCCUGAGCUCCUCUUCACCCACUGCCAUGCCAGAUGAAGGCACAGACACCAACUCCGAGAUCGCCACCAAGGACUUGAAGGAGAAGAUGUUGUGCAGGAGGCGGAGAAUGAAGAGAUGCCCUUGACAUCCGGAAUGCAGGAAAUGGGGAUCAGGAGGCUGGGGUGAGGCAGGUGAGGAAGAGGACAGAGAGGAAGCUGAGGCUGAGGCUGAGGCAGCCACAGGCCAGUGGGCUGCUGAAGAUGACGAGGAUGAUCAUGCUGAUACUGUGGAGCCAGAGAUGGAUGAGGAUGAUUGGACAGCAAAGAAGAAAAGGUUAAUCCUAAAAGGCUUUCAUGGCCUCUUCACCCUCCACUUCCCAGCUCAGCAUCCCUGUGCAUUCACCUGUGGGUAGCGAGGUUGCCUACAAUGGGCAGUCUCAUGGGAAGAGCACACACAUACUGCUGAUAUCAGGAUCGUCUCUGAACCCAGUGACAUCACACCUAGGCGACAGUGACCUGCACAUCUCUGGCCAUGGCGACCGCCAUACAUUCCCCGAAUCCUCUUGGCUCACCUCCCACCUUUACCUGCAAGCAACUACGUCAUCCAAAUAAAAGGAAGACCCCUCUGACCCCUCCCCCCUUCUUCAAUGCCACCUUUGCUCUCUUCCUCCACAAUA